UACGUAGGGUGCGAGCGUUAAUCGGAAUUACUGGGCGUAAAGCGUGCGCAGGCGGUUCGCCAAGUCAGGCGUGAAAUCCCCGGGCUUAACCUGGGAACUGCGCUUGUAACUGAGAGGCUUGAGUGUGGCAGAGGGGGGUGGAAUUCCACGUGUAGCAGUGAAAUGCGUAGAGAUGUGGAGGAACACCGAUGGCGAAGGCAGCCCCCUGGGCUGAGAUUGACGCUCAGGCACGAAAGCGUGGGGAGCAAACAGG
rnacentral:rRNA from 1 species